rnacentral:rRNA from 1 species
UACAGAGGGGGCAAGCGUUAUUCAGAAUUAUUGGGCGUAAAGGGCGCGUAGGCGGCUUUUCAAGUGGCGGGUGAAAUCCCUCGGCUUAACCGAGGAACUGCCUGCCAGACUGGAAGGCUUGAGACCGGGAGAGGUGAGUGGAAUUCCCAGUGUAGCGGUGAAAUGCGUAGAUAUUGGGAGGAACACCAGUGGCGAAGGCGGCUCACUGGACCGGAACUGACGCUGAGGCGCGAAAGCGUGGGGAGCAAACAGG